rnacentral:rRNA from 1 species
GUCCCUAUCUACUAUCUAGCGAAACCACAGCCAAGGGAACGGGCUUGGAAUCAUUAGCGGGGAAAGAAGACCCUGUUGAGCUUGACUCUAGUUUGGCACUGUAAGAAGACAUAAGAGGUGUAGCAUAAGUGGGAGAUAGGCUUGCCUAUCGACAAUGAAAUACCACUACUUUUAUCGUUUUCUUACUUACUUGAUUAAAUGGAGAAUGUGCUUUCAUUCAUACCAUAUGUUCAUUGUGACUUUGUCAUUUAUGUUCAUGUGACUAUGAUGAUCUUGUACACUUUUCUUGACCCAAGUGUCAUGAACCGUUGGUACGUUUGUACAAUUGAGGUGUUGCUGGGGAGCAAUCUUCGGUGCAUCGAGAUUGGAGUAUUAACAUUAUGGUUAAGACACAAUCCAAGUCAGGGACACUGCCAGGUGGGGAGUUUGACUGGGGCGGUACAUCUCUAAAACAAUA